CCUCUCCCCUCUAGCUGAGUCAGGAGUGUUGGAGAAGACAAUGCACUACAGCUUUUCUGAUGGCCUGAAGUCUCCCAUGUUGAGUACCAGAGGUCCAACCUAAAGUUCUGUGGAACAUUCCUGGUGUAAACACGGACUUGUGGAUGGAGGACAGAAAGGGGAAGCUGUAUAAAUCCACCAUGACACCUCCAUCACAACCAUGGCAGCGGGUGGAGUCCUCCGUGCCUCACAGGUGGCAGAGCAGCUGGCCCACUAUGUCCGUGUGUCAGAGUCGGUAAUCACAGAGGAGACCUUUGAUGCGGCCGUACAUACAGUUUGGCAAAGUGCAGGGCAACCCCAACCACAGCUGAGCAGGAUGACCUGUUUGCAUGCCUCCUUGGUUGCCCUCAGCACCUACUGGGAAAAGAGCAUGAAAGGACAACUACACCACCUACACGUACCGCUACUUUGUCAGCCU